CCUUACUUCCGGUCACUGCAUUCCGUUCCACACACAGGAAGAUCACGUGAUGGUUGGUUCUAAAUCGCGGUUCUAGCAGCUACCAUCAGGUUAACACAGUAGUGAAGAAGACUUCCGGUGAGUGUGAGACACCCAGCAGCCAUCACAUUGUGUGUAGGACUGAGCAGGACCCAGAGCCCCAUCACGGUGCCUCCAUCUCAGUCACUGACACAUGAGAGACCCAAUGAUCAGAAGAUCCUGGAACUCACCAACAAGAUCAUUCAGCUGCUGACUGGAGAGGAGGAGGAGUAUAUAGAGGAACACAGGGGUCUGUACAAGGACGUGAUGAUGGAGAAUCACCGGC